rnacentral:misc_RNA from 1 species
GAUGAAGAACGCAGCUAAAUGCGAUAAGUAAUGUGAAUUGCAGAAUUCAGUGAAUCAUCGAAUCUUUGAACGCACCUUGCGCUCUUUGGUAUUCCGAAGAGCAUGCCUGUUUGAGUGUCAUGAAACUCUCAACUCCCAACUUUCUUAAUAGUCGGUUGGGAGCUUGGACUUGAGCGUUGCUGGUCUUUAUUGACCGGCUCGCUUGAAAUGAAUUAGCAGAUCCUUUUUGUAAUCGGUUCCACUCGACGUGAUAAGUAUUUCGCCGAGGACAUCUUAACGGAUGGCCGAGAUAAAGAAAGUCUUUAGAUCCGCUUCUAAUUCUUAGAUAGAGCUUGCUCUACUAAACCCCUUUUAUGAUCUGGCCUCAAAUCAGGUAGGACUACCCGCUGAACUUAAGCAUAUCAAUAAGCGGAGGA